rnacentral:rRNA from 1 species
GACGAACGCUGGCGGCGUGCUUAACACAUGCAAGUCGAGCGGUAAGGCCCUUUCGGGGGUACACGAGCGGCGAACGGGUGAGUAACACAUGGGUGACCUGCCCUCAGCUCUGGGAUAAGCCUGGGAAACCGGGUCUAAUACCGGAUAUGACUCCAUGACGCAUGUUGUGGGGUGGAAAGCCUUGUGCGGCUGAGGAUGGGCCCGCGGCCUAUCAGCUUGUUGGUGGGGNGAUGGCCUACCAAGGCGACGACGGGUAGCCGGCCUGAGAGGGCGACCGGCCACACUGGGACUGAGACACGGCCCAGACUCCUACGGGAGGCAGCAGUGGGGAAUCUUGCGCAAGUGGGCGAAAGCCCGACGCAGCGACGCCGCGUGAGGG